rnacentral:rRNA from 1 species
AUGUUGAUUGACAAAACUUGCUGGAAAGAGAAGAAUUUUCCAAAGUCAAAGAAAAAUGAUGAAGCGGAGUCUCAGAUCAAGGGGAAUAUUUGUCUAUCAAUAGCCCCACCUAAACCAGCUAAGCAACAAAAGAUUGUCAAGUUUGCCAAGGGCACAAAGGCGGAACAAGGCAGAAAAGGCGUGGGGUCCAGACACGAGGCAGAACAACAUGCCACAUCCAUCGAUACAGGACUACCAAGUUCUGCUAGUUUACUGCCAACUCAGGCUGCAAAGAUGCCAACUGCAGAGACUAGUGUACCAACUGAAGUGUCAAUUAGCACGCGGGUCACAGUCAAAACUACCACUGUUGCUCAGGAAGACACAACUGCAACCGCAAGCCCCAAGGUGACAACUUAUAGAGAUUCUUCAAUGCCAAACACGAAAGGAGGUCAUCAAUCUGCCAAACUGCCGUCUCCAAGAGCUAUCACAGAGCAUCCAAGCAAGCCUGCAUCACCAAGAGCUGAUUUUUAG